rnacentral:misc_RNA from 1 species
UUUCCGUAGGUGAACCUGCGGAAGGAUCAUUGCCGAACGGACGCCCGGGUUCCCGAAAGGGAAGACCGGGUGUCUUUUUCGACCAACCCAUGUGAACUCGUUUAAUGUGUUUAACAGUGAUGGCGGUGAGUGGGUGGUGGACAACACCCCCCCAACCAACCACCGACCCUAUCUGUCCAAACAUUUUUAACAAACAUGGUGUAAUGAACGUCAUAUAUCAUAACAAAACAAAACUUUCAACAACGGAUCUCUUGGUUCUG